rnacentral:piRNA from 1 species
UGAACUGAAUAGAAGAAUUUUUAUAGGGUUU